rnacentral:pre_miRNA from 1 species
AAAAAGACAAACCUGGUUUCCGUGUUCAAUGUUUGACCGUCCGUCUUAUUUGAAAAAAUUAUAAAAAAAAUUAAAAAAACAAGUCACGCACAAAGUAUUAAUCAUGUUUUAUCAUUUAACAACAAUAAAAUUAUGAAUUAUAAAAAAAAUUUAUAUAAAACGGACAGUCAAAGUUAGACACGGAAACCUAAGGUUUGCCUUUUU